CAACUAUGAGAGUCACUUCCAGUUGACCACACUUGGUGCUCAAAUAGUUUUGACGUCGGGAUUGUCUGUGGUGGUUUCCAUCUAUCUAGUGACUAGGGGACUAAUAAUAACUCCGCCCCCGCGUCGACGGUCAAUAUUCCCUACUUAAUUUCGACCAAAUUAAUGACAUUCCCAAUAGAGAUGGGUUUCUCCUUAACUUCAUCUUCUCCAACAAUGAUUCUAUCCGAGUAAACCACAUUACCGAUCCUUUUAUUACU